rnacentral:rRNA from 1 species
UACAGAGGUCCCGAGCGUUGUUCGGAUUCACUGGGCGUAAAGGGUGCGUAGGUGGCGUGGUAAGUUUGAUGUGAAAGCUCAGGGCUUAACCCUGAAAUGGCAUUGAAUACUACUGUGCUGGAGGUUUGGAGGGGGACUGGAAUUCUUGGUGUAGCAGUGAAAUGCGUAGAUAUCAAGAGGAACACCAGUGGCGAAGGCGAGUCCCUGGACAACACCUGAGCACUGAGGCACGAAAGCUAGGGGAGCAAACAGG